rnacentral:rRNA from 1 species
ACGGGGCAUUGCCUCAGUACGGCGAGUGAAGCGGCAAAAGCUCAAAUUUGAAAUCCCCCCGGGGAGUUGUAAUUUGAAGAUUGCGUCUUGGAGGCGACCGUGUCUAUGUUCCUUGGAACAGGACGUCACAGAGGGUGAGAAUCCCGUGCGGCACGGCCCCCGGCUCCUUAUAAGGCGCUCUCGACGAGUCGAGUUGUUUGGGAAUGCAGCUCAAAGUGGGUGGUAAAUUCCAUCUAAAGCUAAAUACAGGCGAGAGACCGAUAGCGAACAAGUACAGUGAUGGAAAGAUGAAAAGCACUUUGAAAAGAGAGUGAAACAGCACGUGAAAUUGUUGAAAGGGAAGGGCAUGCCGUCAGAUUGUCAGUGUGGGUAAGAAGCGGGGUACAAAGACUGUGGAACGUGGCCCUCGGGUGUUAUAGCCGCAGUUCAUGCCCCGUCUCUUUCCGAGGCCUGCUUUGAGGACACCGACGUAAUGACGGUACGCCGCCCGUCUUGAAACACGGACAAAAA